UGUGGGAUCAGGAGGCAGAGCUCUGAACAUCUCACCAUGGCCUGGAUCCCUCUCCUGCUCCCCCUCCUCGCUCUCUGCACAGGCUCUGUGGCUUCCUAUGAGCUGACACAGCCACCCUCGGUUUCAGUGUCCCCGGGACAGACGGCCAGGAUCACCUGCUCUGGAGAUGCAUUGCCAAAAAAUUAUGCUUAUUGGUACCAGCAGAAGCCAGGCCAGGCGCCUGUGCUGGUGAUUUAUAAAGACAGUGAGCGGCCCUCAGGGAUUCCUGAACGUUUCUCUGGCUCCAGCUCAGGGACCACAGUCACCCUGACCGUCAGCGGGGCCCAGGCUGAGGAUGAGGCUGACUAUUACUGUUACUCUGGGGAUGGCAACAGUCUCACAGUGACACAGGCAGAUGGGGAAAUGAGACACAAACCCCUUGCCAUCUGUGUCACUUUCUUUCUCCAGCCCCAGGAGGACUGUGGACAAAGCCACGAACAAGUCUGGCCCAGUUCACCUCGAUCUGAGAUUCUGAGGCCUCCCUUCCAGAUCUCCACGUAG